AAAAGAGGCAGAUCCUAGAAGCUCCUUUGUGAGAGCAGCCAAGCAUCUUCCCUGCCCUCUCCCGCAGAAUGGAGGCCCACCCCGACCUCAGGUCAUUUCCUUCCAUGGCCAGCCCCCUCUCAGGGUGAAACAUGAUCCUCAGUGCCCCUCUGGAGCUGCCCACUGUUCCUGCUGAGGGAUUUUUCCUGCUCUAUUCCAUUUGGUGGAGUAAGGCACAGUGGCAUUCCUCUUGGCAGCUGAGAUUGGGUCAGGGAUGGGACCUGCCAGAUGUAAUGAAACGACUUUUCCUAGUGAGGUCAACCUGCUAGGAAGAUGGGAGUCUGUGGAUAACCAUCUCGUCUGUCUGAAGCAUAAAGUCGAGACAUGCAAAGCCAAUAAACUGAGGAGACAGAACCUAGCAACAUCAUUCAAGACCUGGAUCCCACCAUCCCUGAAGCCAGUGAAUACCCUGUAUUCCACAAUCAUGCAACCCAAUAAAGUCCUCUUUUGCAGCCG
rnacentral:lncRNA from 1 species